rnacentral:lncRNA from 1 species
GGCAGGGAAAGGGGCGGAAGAGAAGACACAAAGACCAAAUGGGCGACCGCAAGUCUUACUCUCGCCGGCGUUACAAAGGUACCGGCCUUUGACCUCUCCUUGAAUUAAUGUGAUCCGAUUCAUCUUCCCUCCAAGUUUUUUUUUUAAUUUAAUUACCCCUCCCUGCCCUGGCCCUGCCAGCUUCAGCUCCACCUCCUUGGAGGAAGCAGGCGCUUUUACAGAGCGCCGCGCGGCAGGUCCCCUUUCAGCCAAUCACAUCUGCGGAACCGCGUUCCGAGUCGUUUGAGGGUGUCUGGUAAAGCAAGCUCGGGGCGGUGUUGGAAAUCUGAAUGUCACCCGCGGUCCGGAGCAGAUAGGAUGGGCUGGGAAGGUACCCGCGAACUGCCGCCGGAAUUCGCUGGCAGCUGUGCGAGGCUCAGAUUAUUUAAAUUUUCCACAAAUUUCUACGGAUUAAUUCAAUGGCAGCUCACUUUCUCCUUUUAUGAUCGGAUGGGUCCGAAAGUGAGGAAAAAGACAAUUGUCUACAAAGAAAGAGGCUGCCAAGUGGAGACAGAAAAGCAGUUAUGAGACUGAUGAUAGAUUCCAAUUUGUUAUCGAAAGGAAGGAGGAGACCUGAACAGUACAUCCGGAGAAUCCAGCAAAGCAUACUACGGCAUGAACGUGCAAGUGGACAGAAUUAAAACACAUGCCAGAAACACUAAUGGAUUCUAAACAAGAUGCAGUUUCAUUUCCUGAGCCUAUACGUGAUGUUUUUAACUGUUCUCCAGUUAAUAUGUCUCCAUUUCCAGAAAUCUAACAGGAGAAUCUCUGACUGCUUAACAGAUCACCUAAGCUUGCGAUUUGUGCAAUCCUUUCUAGAGUAAGGGCUCCCCGGCUGCUCCCCGGCCACUGUGUACCCAAAGCAGCGGCUGAAAUAGCCCGGAGUCCAACAGCUCAGCGUCAAGCAGCUCGUGGCAAACGCAGCCGCCGGUCUUGACUGCCAUCGCCCAAGGGGUUCCUCUGGGCUCUCCCGCGAGCCAACAGCCGACCUCUCUCCAGCCUAGUCUGGGAAACUCCAGCCAACCCAGGAUCCCAUUUUGUAGUCCCGGGCAGACCCGAAACCCCUGAAAGAACUCCACUCCAGAAGACGCCAGAACAAGUUCCCACGAAUUUCAUGGGCGCCCUUCACAUGAAAACCUCAGCUCCCCUAUCCUCAAGGAACGGGGAAGGGCGCCGGGGAGGGACUUCGGUGGCCAGCUGUCCCUGGGUCGUGGGCGCUGUUUGCUCUGCGGAGCGCCAGCCCUGCACACAGCGGGUGCGGGAAGCGUUGAUGGGAGGCUGGAGGGCGGGGUGAGCGUAAACUAGGAUCUAGCCGGUUCCAGGCGUGGAGAAUCAAAUGUGGUCCUAGAUCUGUAAGUUGCGAAAAGGGGCUUUUGGGAGCGUCAGAGCUUUCUCACUCCGGUCCCCCGCCGCCUUGAGGCUGGCAGAUUUAUACCCCACAGGUGGAUGGAGACCUAAACAAAACAGUCCCGGCCGCUGCCUGCCGCUCGCCCCCCACGUCCCCCGGGCCCACCGCAAACUUCAACAAAAUAAACAACUCACCACAGGCAUUCCCUUGUCUGCAGCGCGACGCUUGCCAGCUGGGAAAAUAAGCCGCAAGCCACGCGGCCGAGGCGCGGAGGGA